UUUAGAGGAAAAAAUUGUUAAUAUUGAUAUCUUACCAUUUUAACUUCACCAAUCCUUUUAGAGGACUUUGAUGAUUAUAUAACUUCAAUAUUUAGCUAAGAAUAGUUUGCGUAUCCAGGUAAUUAUAUAAAAAUUGGAGAAACUUCAACAUUCCACCAUUAUUCUUCCCAAAUGGAGAGAUUUUAUUUAUAUUCCUUUAUUAUUUUUCCUUCUUUUCCAAACGAGAUGGAGUAAGCAAUUGAGUGAAUGAAAUUUACAGGGACUAGAUAAUAAUUCUUCCAUUUUUAAUUGGUCAAACGUCAAUACUGAUCGCUGCUGAAUUGUUCUUAUAAAGACGUUGGCAAUGCAGAAUGGAGAUGGCAACAAUGAGUACAAGGGCAAUGAUAAUGGAAUGGAGACGGCAAAAGGAGGCAGUUAUUAUAAGCAAAGGCUAGCAACAAUUGGCGAUUCCAAACUGUACUUCAACUUUACAAUAGCACGUUACGUAAGAAAUGAAGGCAUACUUCAGACAAAGCAUAAUGUAAUUAAUGGAUUCUUAGUUUAUCUUUUUAGUGAAGCAUAUCCAGCUAUAACUCACUUUAUGUAAAUCUAAACUUA